rnacentral:misc_RNA from 1 species
GUUCCAUAAAUAGUUUCACGGUUCGUUUUUUAAAAAAAGAGGAGUCCUUAAAGUGUAAUUGAAUGGGAGGUAAAGUUUCUAAUGCCAGCAAAGCUAGGUCCCAUCACUGCUAGGACUGAAGAAUGCCAAGUCCACGGGUGGAUUUGAUUUGCUUUUUCAAGAUUUGGAUUUGAUGUAACGAUCAUUUUUUAGCGCUUUUCAAUUGCAGUAUAUCAGAGAAGAAAAAUCUUGUUAUCCUUUUAAUUUAUUGGAUAGCAUCGAGGCAAGACACCUGUCUUGUGUAGGGUGUAACAUGCAAGUCAAAACGU